rnacentral:rRNA from 1 species
GCCAGAGCCAUAUCUCCCUGCAGUUCUUGCCUGGUUUCCCACUGAAGUUAAGCAGGGUUGAUUCUGCCCAGUACCUGGAUAUGAGACAUUUUGGGGAAAACUAAGGUUGCUGCUGGAA